rnacentral:rRNA from 1 species
AUUGAACGCUGGCGGCAGGCCUAACACAUGCAAGUCGAACGAGUGGCGGACGGGUGAGUUAUUUCUGGGAAACUGCCUGAUGGAGGGGGAUACCUACUGGAAACGGUAGCUAAUCCCGCAUACCAUCGGAUGUGCCCCGAUGGGAUUAGCUAGUCGGUGGGGUAAAGGCUCCCCUAGGCGACGAUCCCUAGCUGGUCUGAGAGGCUGACCAGCCACGCUGGAACUGAGACACGGUCCAGACUCCUACGGGAGGCAGCAGUGGGGAAUAUUGCAGAAUGGGCGCAAGCCUGAUGCAGCCAUGCCGCGUGUAUGAAGAAGGCCUUCGGGUUGUAAAGUACUUUCAGCGGGGAGGCGUUACCCGCAGAAGAAGCGCCGGCUAACUCCGUGCCAGCCGCCGCGGUAAUAC